UCUCGCCAACUUUGAUCGACUUCAAAAUCAGAACCGAAAAUCACUUCCAUUCAUUUCCCCUUUUUCUUUUCUUGUUUUGGAAGCCAAAAUCACUUUGAAAAAGAUUCUUCAAUUCCACAUUAAUGGCAAACGAUAAUCAUCAUAGCUUGCUAUGAAAACGAUUUGGUGUUAGUGGACGUCUAUCAUGUGUUUUGUGAAAUUUUCUCACCAAGCUUUGAUGAACAAUGGCGAAUUCGUUUUAGACAAAAUUGAAUUCAAGAUUGCUGUUCCUAAUGGAGUUAAAUUACUAUUUUAAUCGAAAUCGAGAAAGUUGGGGAACAAUCGUGUUGUUGGUGCUGCAAUAUGGGUACUCUAGAACUAGGCUUGCUUUAUUAUCCUUAGCAUGCCGGAUCAUGUCCGCCAUGGAAGCUACACAAACGAACUUCGUGACCUUUAUCUUCUUGCAGUGUCCCAUAUCUGGUGGAUGUUUCCCGGCAUCUCGUCAAGGGAGUCUAAUUCUUCGUCAAUGGGAGUUGAAAAGCGAACAGCAUUAUAGUUUGCGAUCGAGGAACAUCCACUGUGAGAUGAGAUGACUGGGAAGGAAGCUGGAUUCAACUUUUGAUUACUUCUUCCCGUUUGAUUUUGAAACAAGAAACGCCGUACCCCAAGAAAUGGAUGACAGGUAAGACAAUCAGAUUUAUACAGCUUAUUUGCCUCCCAAACAUGCACAAAGGCCUUAAAUUUAGCUAAGCCUUUUAUUUUUCACUUAAUGGAGUACCCAACCCCAAGACAGGAGCAUUUAUCAAAGGUUUUGUAUGAUUUAGGUGCUGCUUGGGAAUAAUGAUACGAAACUGUUUUAGACUUUUCAAAACAAUAUUUUACUGUUUUCUACAGUAAACCAGGUUGGAUUCUAAAUUUUUCAUACUCGUUUCCAGUUGAGUUGAUCUAAAAGAUGUUUAACUUGAGAAGUUCUUUGAACAUAGAAAUGAAGAUUAAAGAACAUGUAUACAGCAACAGGAUUUAUUUUCAAGUACAACUUUACAAAACAAUUUGAACGAUUGUUAUAUAGUCAAUAAAGUCAAAGUAAAAAGUAAAGGAGUUCAAGAGGAAAGAAGUCUAGUUGAGGUGUGUGUUACUCGUUAGUUGGUAUGGUCACUCAAACAUAAGAAGAUUAUGAUAUACAAAAAUAUCCCAAUAAUAUUAUUUGAAUAUCAACUUAGACAUCCCGUUCGAAGUUUUGUGUUAACUUAAGGAAAAGCUCUUGAUGUCUCAAGAGUUUGGGCCAUGGGACAGGAGCGCCACAAACUUUUUAAAAGAAGAAUUAUAUUAGAAAUUGGAGAGCUGUAAAUCCACUUCUAUAUGAUUCAAUUUUGGACCACUUUUUUGGUUAUUAGAUAUCUUGGUUCAGCGUUGCUUUGUACCAAAAAGAAAGAAGAAUCAAGCUAGUGUGAUGUGGUAUAUACCAGAUUCUAAGUUAUAUCACAUGUCUAAGUUAUCAGUUAUUAUCAUAAGUUGAUAGGAAUAUUUCUUUACGUCAUCAUGUGUAAAAAAGGUAUUCUCAGAACAAGGAAAAAGAAAACCCCCAUAAAUUUGGCUGCUGGGCUUCUAUAACUGAAGAGCUAGCCUUGGAAAUGACUAUAUUGUCCAACAUUGUAUUUAGUAUAGUCGAAGAAUAUGAUAGUCGUAUUGUUAAAGGAUUGUUUAUGAGCCAUGCAUUUGCAUGUACGAAAUACACUGUUGCGUAGCUCACGUUUCAUUUGUUGUCUUAAUGGUUAUACACACCACAGCACACAUGGUUGGUCUAUUAUUACUGUGCUUCCAUAUGCCUCUUCCAUUUUUUUCGUUAUAUAAUUUCCGGUCAUUCGAAAGGGAAAUUCCAUCCAUUGAUAUGACACCAUAAAUUCUACACCAAAAAGAAAAAUUAAAACAAAAAGAAAACAAAAAUCACUAUCUAAAUAUAUUACAACCAGAUCCCAAUUCCAAUUAUCCUAAUAAAUCAAACAAAAUAAUAGGCUUCGAAAAAAAAAU